rnacentral:rRNA from 1 species
AGCAGCCGCGGUAAUUCCAGCUCCAAUAGCGUAUAUUAAAGUUGUUGCAGUUAAAAGCUCGUAGUUGAAUUUCGGGGUCAGUAGGUUGGUCGUGCCACCGGUACGUACUGGUCUCACUGAUUCCUCCUUCCUGAUGAGCUGUAAUGCCAUUAAUUUGGUGUUGCAGGGAAUCUGGACUGUUACUUUGAAAAAUUAGAGUGUUUAAAGCAGGCUAACGCUUGAAUACAUUAGCAUGGAAUAAUGAAAUAGGACGUUCAAUCCUAUUUGUUGGUUUCUAGGAUUGACGUAAUGAUUAAUAGGGAUAGUUGGGGCAUUAGUAUUCAAUUGUCAGAGGUGAAAUUCUUGGAUUUAUUGAAGACUAACUACUGCGAAAGCAUUUGCCAAGGAUGUUUUCAUUAAUCAAGAACGAAAGUUAGGGAUCGAA